AUUGAACGCUGGCGGCAUGCCUUACACAUGCAAGUCGAACGGCAGCACGGGAGCUUGCUCCUGGUGGCGAGUGGCGAACGGGUGAGUAAUAUAUCGGAACGUACCCUAGUAGUGGGGAUAACGCAGCGAAAGUUGCGCUAAUACCGCAUACGAUCUACGGAUGAAAGUGGGGGAUCGCAAGACCUCAUGCUCAUGGAGCGGCCGAUAUCUGAUUAGCUAGUUGGUGGGGUAAAGGCCUACCAAGGCAUCGAUCAGUAGCUGGUCUGAGAGGACGACCAGCCACACUGGAACUGAGACACGGUCCAGACUCCUACCGGGAGGCAGCAGUGGGGGAAUUUUUGGGACAAUGGGCGAAAGCCUGAUCCAGCAAUGCCGCGUGCAGGAAGAAGGCCUUC
rnacentral:rRNA from 1 species